AUCUGGAAUCCUCAGGAACCUUCGCCUCGCCCUCUCUUUCAGUUCGUAAAAGUAAAACCACCACUUCCCUUUCCUUCUCAUGCCCUCUCGUCUGUCCGGUUGCUUUUUGCGUCGGCGAAUCAAACAGAUCAGGAUCGCUGAGUUAAUUGCUUUUGGUUUGUGCAAAUCUCAAUGAGAGUUCUAAAGAAACUACCAGUUAAAAGCAUUCUUGAGCAUGUAUACCCGAUGAAAGGAACACAGAGGACCGUGAAAAUUGCUACCCUAGAUAAGCAUGGGGAAGAACACCUCGUCCCAAUUGUAGCGGUCGAUAAGCCAAGGUUACCUCCUGAACUCGGUCCUUUGAUUGUUCUUUCAUUUCUGGAGAUGUCAAGUAGUAACGACAAAGAUGACUAAAGUAUCGUUAAGGGUGUUUCAGUCUGUGUUGGAAGUUUUAUGUGAUCUUCAGGAUGUUUAGUUUGUGGUGUACCUGCUGAACUAUGCAUGAUAUGUGUAGGACAACAAAAUAACACAUUAGAGUCUCCAUGCAUUUAUAAAAUAACAAAGGACAACAAAAUCUGUUUUGCUGUGGUUCAAGUUGUAGCAUUGUCGAUCAAACUAUAUAUGCAUUUACCAUUCUGUUUGCAAUA